rnacentral:lncRNA from 1 species
ACUGGGGGAAAUGAGGAGCCAUUUUCACUUGUCUUGGCUGCAAGGUGAUUGCUCGAAUGCCUGCAGGUCCGAUCUAGAUCGUCCUCAACUACAGCUGUCCCAAAAAAUGAAGGUGGUGACAGAAGGCUUGUAUGUAUCACAGGAGCAUAAGCAGCCCAGUGACCAGCAUCCUGGUGAAAGUAGAUGCCGUUCUCUACAGAGGCAGACGCUACCUUCGUUAUUUUCUUCCUGCUCUGGCGUCAUUAGUAUGAAACGGAAAUCCUUGAAAAACUGUGGCCCUUUAUCUCUGAUCUUGGGAGGGAAUCUCAGGAAAUAAGGUGCUGGUUGGAGGGACCAAUAAGAUAAGAAUUUUUUCAGGAACUUAUGCAUCUCCAUAUAGAUUCAGUGCCUUCAGUCCAGUGUCUUUCCUUAAACAAUGGCCUGGCCUAGGCUCAAAGUCCCUGAGGAAGGUGUCAGAAAUCCCACAGAAGUAAGUAUUGGGUUAUCUGCCCCAGUGUUUCUUUAUGCUUAUCAUUUAAAAGCUGGUUUGCGCUCUGUACUUGACCCAACAGGAAGCUGUGGGUUAAUUCUCCUCUUUUUAUCAAGUGUACUUUAUCAAUGUAAUGGCCCAGGC